AUGGCUGGCAUUCCCGGUUCUUCCUCACGCCCCCACGGCCCUCAGAAAGGCGAUUGGGGGAGCUGCUCAGUAUCCCAUGCCCAGCUGACCAAGCUUCAGACGCAGGGGUAUCUCCCUCCCGCAGAUCUAGUCCCUGUUCGGGCGGGGUUAACUUCCAUCAAUGGCGAAGCCCUGGCGGAAAAAUUCCCCAAUCCUACUGAAGGGGAGCGAGUGUGCUUCGUUCCCUUCCUAUUAAGAGGCGUUGGGUUUCCAAUCCACCCUUUCCUCCGAGGUCUCCUGGAGUAUUAUGGCCUCCAACUGCACAAUCUUACGCCGGGCUCCAUUCUGCACAUCGCGGGCUUCGUCGCUCUUUGCGAGCUGUUCCUAGGUUGCAAGGCCCAUUUUGAGUUAUGGAGGAAACUUUUCUGCCUCGUCCCUCGCUCCCAAAAGGGAUCCAUAUUCAAGGUGGGCGGUGCCGAAGUAUGGCGUGUCGCCGGGACAGGAUACCUAUCUGGCACUCCGAAGAAGGCAUCCGAAGAGUGGCCCUCAGAAUGGUUUUAUAUUGAAGACGUGGUUCUUCUAGUCCCAAUCCGUCGGGGCCUUACCUAA
rnacentral:rRNA from 1 species